rnacentral:RNase_P_RNA from 1 species
AAGGCAGGUUGGGUGGCCGCCCCCGCCUUUGGCGGGGGAGGAAAGUCCGGGCUUUAAAGGGCAGCGUGGUUGCUAACGGCAACGCUUCGCUAAGGUUCAAACCUUGGCGGGGACGGAAAGUGCCACAGAAAAUACACAGCCCCCCGCCUUUGGCGGGGAGCAAUGGUGAAAAGGCGGUGUAAGAGACCACCGGUUCUGCUGGUGACAGCGGAGCGCAUGGAAAACCCCACGUGGAGCAAGGCCAAACACGGGGAAAGGGACUGCCCGUUCCGUUAUGAUCCUCAGGUAGGCCGCUUGAGCCCGUCAGCAAUGGCGGGCCUAGAUAGAUGGCCACACGCUGCGCCAGAAAUGGCGCAGUGACAGAACCCGGCUUAUAGAUCUGCUUUAACC